rnacentral:rRNA from 1 species
GGGUUGUGAGGUUAAGCGACUAAGCGUACACGGUGGAUGCCCUGGCAGUCAGAGGCGAUGAAGGACGUGCUAAUCUGCGAUAAGCGCCGGUAAGGUGAUAUGAACCGUUAUAACCGGCGAUUUCCGAAUGGGGAAACCCAGUGUGACUCGUCACACUAUCAUUAACUGAAUCCAUAGGUUAAUGAGGCGAACCGGGGGAACUGAAACAUCUAAGUACCCCGAGGAAAAGAAAUCAACCGAGAUUCCCCCAGUAGCGGCGAGCGAACGGGGAGGAGCCCAGAGCCUGAAUCAGCAUGUGUGUUAGUGGAAGCGUCUGGAAAGGCGCGCGAUACAGGGUGACAGCCCCGUACACAAAAGCGCAUGUGCUGUGAGCUCGAUGAGUAGGGUGGGACACGUGGUAUCCUGUCUGAAUAUGGGGGGACCAUCCUCCAAGGCUAAAUACUCCUGACUGACCGAUAGUGAACCAGUACCGUGAGGGAAAGGCGAAAAGAACCCCGGCGAGGGGAGUGAAAAAGAACCUGAAACCGUGUACGUACAAGCAGUGGGAGCACAGGUUUACC